GACGAACGCUGGCGGCGUGCUUAACACAUGCAAGUCGAACGCUGAAGCUUGAUGCUUGCACUCGGUGGAUGAGUGGCUAACGGGUGAGUAAUACGUGCGUAACCUGCUCUUUUCUCUUGGAUAAUCCUGUGAAACUGGGUCUACUACUGCCUACGACAUCUUACCGCAUGGUGGUGUGUGUAAUGGGUUUUACUGGUUUUGGAUGGGCUCACGUCCUAUCAGCUUGUUGGGGGGGUAAUGGCUCACCAAGGCGACGACCGGUAGCCGGCCUGAGAGGGUGACCGGGCACACUGGGACUGAGACACGGACCAGACUCCUACGGGAGGCAGCAGUGGGGAAUAUUGCACAAUGGGCGGAAGCCUGAGGCAGAGACGCCGCGUGAGGGAUGACGGCCUUCGGGUAGUAAACAGCUUUCAGCACGGAAGAAGCGAAAGUGACGGUACGUGAAGAAGAAGCGCCGGCUAACUACGUG
rnacentral:rRNA from 1 species